GACGAACGCUGGCGGCGUGGAUUAGGCAUGCAAGUCGGACGUAGGGCUUUAUCGUAAGAUAGAGUUUGAGAGUGGCGAAUGGGUGAGUAACACGUAGGAAUCUACCCUUAAGACGGGGACAACCCAGGGAAACUUGGGCUAAUACCGGAUGAGAGUGCGAGAGAUUGCAUUUAAAAGGAUGGCGAAAGUUAUCGCUUAGGGAUGAGCCUGCGGUCUAUUAGUUAGUUGGUGGGGUAAGAGCUCACCAAGGCGAUGAUAGAUAGGCGGCCUUAACGGGUGGUCGCCCACACUGGGAUUGAGAUACGGCCCAGACUCCUACGGGAGGCAGCAGUCGAGAAUAGUCUACAAUGGCCGGAAGGCUGAUAGUGCGACGCCGCGUGAACGAGGGAGCCCUUCGGGGUGUAAAGUUCUUUUCUAUACGAGCAGUGCUAUAUAUAUGGAUAGUAUAUAUAGAGGGAUAGUAGUAUAGGAAUAAGCAACGGCUAACUCCGUG
rnacentral:rRNA from 1 species